GACGAACGCUGGCGGCGUGCUUAACACAUGCAAGUCGAACGGAAAGGCCCUGCUUUUGUGGGGUGCUCGAGUGGCGAACGGGUGAGUAACACGUGAGUAACCUGCCCUUGACUUUGGGAUAACUUCAGGAAACUGGGGCUAAUACCGGAUAGGAGCUCCUGCUGCAUGGUGGGGGUUGGAAAGUUUCGGCGGUUGGGGAUGGACUCGCGGCUUAUCAGCUUGUCGGUGGGGUAGUGGCUUACCAAGGCUUUGACGGGUAGCCGGCCUGAGAGGGUGACCGGCCACAUUGGGACUGAGAUACGGCCCAGACUCCUACGGGAGGCAGCAGUGGGGAAUAUUGCACAAUGGGCGGAAGCCUGAUGCAGCAACGCCGCGUGCGGGAUGACGGCCUUCGGGUUGUAAACCGCUUUCGCCUAUGACGAAGCGUGAGUGACGGUAAUGGGUAAAGAAGCACCGGCUAACUACGUG
rnacentral:rRNA from 1 species